UCCCCCUACAGCCAGUUUCCAUAAUCUGGACCUGUAUGAGGGUUGAAACUUCGGCGGAGUACUACGCCUCGACCUUACGUCAGAUCGUCGUCAAACUUGGAGGGAUUGGAGGUCUCCCCUGGCCGACCAAGGCCUAGGUGUCACUUUAGGAAGGCGGGCUUCCAUCACACGUGCGGCCAGCCCACCCGCGCACGUGAGCUUUGUCCGGGUCAGGUUUUCCUCUGGUUUUCCUCUUUUCAUUCCUAUUUCCUAAACCCUAGCCUUAGUUUGCAUUAGCCCUAAUUUAUUUGCCCAUUUUUU